CCAGAUCCUUAACCCACUGAGUGAGGCCAGGGAUCGAACCUGCAACCUCAUGGUUCCUAGUUGGAUUCGUUUCCGCUGCGCCAUGACGGGAACUCCCCUUGUGAUAUUUUCGGUGCACACAUGCACAAGCACGCAGACAUAUACACAGAGUUUAAUAUACUUGAGAUAGUCCUGAAUAUACACUGCUGCUGUUUUGCUGGUGAACACCUGUCUCACUAUCUCUCAGUAAGAAUUGUUUAAAGCCACUGCCCUGAGCCUCCUGAGGGUCUACCGUAGCCACUUAAUUCCUCCCUCCCCGGGACACCCCCUCCUGCACCGGCUCUGGGAUCCAGCUCUGAGCUGUGACCUGUGGCCAUUCUCCCAUGCUCUCUAACCAUCUGGUUUUGUAUUUUAACAUCCCCCUGGCCUCUUUUUAGUGCAAACAGUAGCUAUGCUUAUUAAUCUAAGGGCAGGGCAGUGAUGGGGGUACAGAAUCUGAAGCUAGACUGCUUGGGUACAAGCCCUGGUUCAGCCUCACACUGUCACUGUGACCUUAGUGAGUCCUGUGUCUUCUCUGUGCCUUGUUUCUUCAUGUCCGAGUUGGAGGCUCUCAGGGCUGUUCUGAGGCAUGAGUGAGUGAAUGUAUGUAAGCAGGGAGAGCAGUGUUGGUGUAUACUCAGUGCAUCAGCUGUUAUUAUUGAGCAUCUACACCGUGUCAGGCACAGGGCUAAGUGCUUCGUGUUACUGAGCCCCCAGAUUCCCCAUCAAGUAGGUAUCAUCACCCUCGUGUAAAGGGAAUUAAAUCUCCGAGAAAUGAAGGAACAUGUCCUUGGUUACGUGCUGGUGCCAACAGACACAGUAGGUUGGAAUUCCCAUCUUGCUGCGCCUAAAUCCAUGCUGUCCCCUGAGCCCUAGGUCCUUCUGGGGAGGGAGUGGUGCUUUGCAGCAGAGGAGAAAGAGAAGGCCACCAGUUGGUGCAGGUACCUCUGGCGGAUGUUGAGCGCACGAAGAUGCCCAGUGGAUGCAGAGUGUGGAGGAAAACAGAGCACCCAUCUGCUUCCAGGCACGGUCCCUGUCACGCUGGUGCUGGACGCAGCAGCACUUCUCUCUGGUGGCCACAAGGAACUUCCUUCCAGUAUUUUAUGAAAAUGCUAUUCAGAGGAAGUGACCCAAUUCAUCUCUCCCUCAUGGUUCCACUCUCUUAAGUGAGCAGAAAGAUCUGAGAUUAAAGAAUGAAAGAGAGAGAGAAACAGAUACAGAGUCUCUGUAGGUGAGAGGAGGCCAGACAGGACUAAAACUGAGGACUCUAGGCUGCCACCGCCCAGGACAUGCUGGGGACACUGAGACAGAUAGUUUUACUGCUGGCACAGUCUCUUCAGAGAAUCGUGCGGCAGCAUUGGAAGUGGGUGUUUCGAACUGCAUAGACCUUGAGCCCAGGCUCAGCUCAGAAACCUGCUGGGAGCUGCUGUGGAAUCAGUGACGAUUUAGCAAUCUGCCUGGUCAUGACCUUGAUUCGUCCUUCGUGCUCUACACCUUAGGGAUAAAGAAAAGUGAAACCUAAAAACAGUAAGUAGGUGGUUGAAUCAGGGGGCACAAUGGCCCUCAUCCCUCCUCCUCUGACUUGCUGGAGCAGCUCAUCCUUCAACAGAGCCCUGAUUGUAAUUACAGCUCAGACCCCACACAGCACAGGGCACAGAUGAGAGACCUGGCUCCGUCCAAUCGACCUCCAAUGUCUGCUGAGGCUCCUACGGGGCACGCCUGCUUCACGGGGUAUAAGCCUGUUGACAUGUGGGGUCUGGAACUGCUGCAGGCAUCUUGUUAGUAGGAGGGGGCAUGGCUUGGAUGCCCAGGAAGGCAGAGCCAAGGGAUGGAAACUGUUUGGAUCCUUGAAGAUGGCAUUGAUCCUGUCUUUUAAAGUUGGACUGAAUACAGACUUAUUGCUAUGUGAAAGAAUAAAUGUCCUUAUGGUUAA